rnacentral:rRNA from 1 species
AAAAAUCCACCGUCCGAGCUGAACUUGAUAGUAUGGAGUCUUCUUCGGAAGAAUCCAAUAGUGUGGGUAAUCAUACUCCCGAGAAAAUCCGCUAAGCUUAACCCAUGCGGCACCCGUACCGCAAACGGACACACGUGGUCGGGUUGAACACACUGAGGCGUUGAGAGAUUCAUGGUUAAGGAACUAGGCAAAUUGACCCUGUAACUUCGGGAUAAAGGGUCCUCGUGAAGAGCGAGGCGCAGAGAAUAGGUCCAGGCAACCGUUUAACAAAAACACAGGGCUGUGCAAACUCGAAAGAUGACGUAUACAGCCUGACACCUGCCCGGUGCCGGAAGGUUAAGAGGAUAUGUCACACUUAUGUGGAAGCAUUGAAUUGAAGCCCCGGUAAACGGCGGCCGUAACGAUAACGGUCCUAAGGUAGCGAAAUUCCUUGUCGGGUAAGUUCCGACCUGCACGAAUGGUGUAAUGAUCCGGACGCUGUCUCAACCAUGAGCUCAGUGAAAUUGUAGUAUCGGUGAAGAUGCCGAUUACCCGCGAUGGGACGAAAAGACCCCGUGAACCUUUACUACAGCUUAGCAUUGACCUUGGUCAUCCGAUGUGUAGGAUAGGCCGGAGGCUUCGAAGCGGGAGCGCCAGCUUUCGUGGAACCAUCCUUGAAAUACGGCCCUUUGGCUGUCUGAGGUCUAACGCGCGAUGCGCGGACACUGCUUGGUGGGUAGUUUGACUGGGGUGGUCGCCUCCAAAAGCGUAACGGAGGCUUCCAAAGGUGCCCUCGGGUCGAUUGGUAACCGACCUCAAAGAGUGCAAUGGCAUAAGGGCGCUUGACUGGGAGGCAGACAUGCCGAGCAGGCAGGAAACUGGGGCAUAGUGAUCCGGCGGAUGUGUAUGGAAACUCCGUCGCUCAAAGGAUAAAAGGUACUCCGGGGAUAACAGGCUGAUCCCCCCCAAGAGCUCAUAUCGACGGGGUGGUUUGGCACCUCGAUGUCGGCUCGUCACAUCCUGGGGCUGGAGAAGGUCCCAAGGGUUGGGCUGUUCGCCCAUUAAAGUGGCACGCGAGCUGGGUUCAGAACGUCGUGAGACAGCUCGGUCUCUAUCUAUCGUGGGCGUGGGAGUUUUGCGUGGUGCCGUCACUAGUACGAGAGGACCGUGAUGGACAGACCUCCGGUUUACCAGUUGUGCCGCCAGGCGCACCGCUGGGUAUCUGAGUCUGGAUUGGAUAAGCGCUGAAAGCAUCUAAGUGCGAAGCCAGCCGCAAGAUGAGAACUCCAUUGAGGGUCGUCAGAGACGAUGACGUUGAUAGGAUGCAGGUGUAAAGACAGCGAUGUCAAAGCCGAGCAUUACUAAUUGCUC